GGUUCUGAGCGGCUAUUACGACCUGCCGAGGGAUAAGCGCCUCGUGAACCGUAGUUCCGGAGCCGGGCACCUGCUGACGGGCAUGGCAACGUUGCCGCCUCGCAGGCACAUAAAGACGGACCACUACGUAGCCAUUGUCUUCUGGGGAUCGUGGCUCGUCUUGGACGUCUUCGCAAUAUUCCGUCUGCAGAUCUACCGGACCAAGAACAAAAGAUGAUGCCACCAUCGCUGGGAGGGUGAUGGGACAAUUGUCAGCAUCGACCCAACUGGUGCCGCUCGGUCCCACAACCAUGGCCCAUCGCGGUCGGUGUUUGUCGCCGCAUGAAAGCUCU